CCGGCUAACUACGUGCCAGCAGCCGCGGUAAUACGUAGGUCCCGAGCGUUGUCCGGAAUUAUUGGGCGUAAAGGGCUCGUAGGUGGUUGAUCGCGUCGGAAGUGUAAUCUUGGGGCUUAACCCUGAGCGUGCUUUCGAUACGGGUUGACUUGAGGAAGGUAGGGGAGAAUGGAAUUCCUGGUGGAGCGGUGGAAUGCGCAGAUAUCAGGAGGAACACCAGUGGCGAAGGCGGUUCUCUGGGCCUUUCCUGACGCUGAGGAGCGAAAGCGUGGGGAGCGAACAGGAUUAGAUACCCUGGUAGUCCACGCUGUAAACGGUGGGUACUAGGUGUGGGGUCCAUUCCACGGGUUCCGUGCCGUAGCUAACGCUUUAAGUACCCCGCCUGGGGAGUACGGCCGCAAGGCUAAAACUCAAAGGAAUUGACGGGGCCCCGCACAAGCGGCGGAGCAUGCGGAUUAAUUCGAUGCAACGCGAAGAACCUUACCUGGGUUUGACAUGGAUCGGGAGUGCUCAGAGAUGGGUGUGCCUCUUUUGGGGUCGGUUCACAGGUGGUGCAUGGCUGUCGUCAGCUCGUGUCG
rnacentral:rRNA from 1 species